rnacentral:rRNA from 1 species
GAUUAAGUUAUUAAGGGCGCACGGUGGAUGCCUUGGCACUAGAAGCCGAUGAAGGACGUUACUAACGACGAUAUGCUUUGGGGAGCUGUAAGUAAGCUUUGAUCCAGAGAUUUCCGAAUGGGGAAACCCAGCAUGAGUUAUGUCAUGUUAUCGAUAUGUGAAUACAUAGCAUAUCAGAAGGCACACCCGGAGAACUGAAACAUCUUAGUACCCGGAGGAAGAGAAAGAAAAUUCGAUUCCCUUAGUAGCGGCGAGCGAAACGGGAAGAGCCCAAACCAACAAGCUUGCUUGUUGGGGUUGUAGGACACUCUAUACGGAGUUACAAAGGACGACAUUAGACGAAUCAUCUGGAAAGAUGAAUCAAAGAAGGUAAUAAUCCUGUAGUCGAAAAUGUUGUCUCUCUUGAGUGGAUCCUGAGUACGACGGAGCACGUGAAAUUCCGUCGGAAUCUGGGAGGACCAUCUCCUAAGGCUAAAUACUCUCUAGUGACCGAUAGUGAACCAGUACCGUGAGGGAAAGGUGAAAAGCACCCCGGAAGGGGAGUGAAAUAGAACCUGAAACCGUGUGCUUACAAGUAGUCAGAGCCCGUUAAUGGGUGAUGGCGUGCCUUUUGUAGAAUGAACCGGCGAGUUACGAUUUGAUGCAAGGUUAAGCAGUAAAUGUGGAGUCGUAGCGAAAGCGAGUCUGAAUAGGGCGUUUAGUAUUUGGUCGUAGACCCGAAACCAGGUGAUCUACCCUUGGUCAGGUUGAAGUUCAGGUAACACUGAAUGGAGGACCGAACCGACUUACGUUGAAAAGUGAGCGGAUGAACUGAGGGUAGCGGAGAAAUUCCAAUCGAACCUGGAGAUAGCUGGUUCUCUCCGAAAUAGCUUUAGGGCUAGCCUCAAGUGAUGAUUAUUGGAGGUAGAGCACUGUUUGGACGAGGGGCCCCUCUCGGGUUACCGAAUUCAGACAAACUCCGAAUGCCAAUUAAUUUAACUUGGGAGUCAGAACAUGGGUGAUAAGGUCCGUGUUCGAAAGGGAAACAGCCCAGACCACCAGCUAAGGUCCCAAAAUAUAUGUUAAGUGGAAAAGGAUGUGGCGUUGCCCAGACAACUAGGAUGUUGGCUUAGAAGCAGCCAUCAUUUAAAGAGUGCGUAAUAGCUCACUAGUCGAGUGACACUGCGCCGAAAAUGUACCGGGGCUAAACAUAUUACCGAAGCUGUGGAUUGUCCUUUGGACAAUGGUAGGAGAGCGUUCUAAGGGCGUUGAAGCAUGAUCGUAAGGACAUGUGGAGCGCUUAGAAGUGAGAAUGCCGGUGUGAGUAGCGAAAGACGGGUGAGAAUCCCGUCCACCGAUUGACUAAGGUUUCCAGAGGAAGGCUCGUCCGCUCUGGGUUAGUCGGGUCCUAAGCUGAGGCCGACAGGCGUAGGCGAUGGAUAACAGGUUGAUAUUCCUGUACCACCUAUAAUCGUUUUAAUCGAUGGGGGGACGCAGUAGGAUAGGCGAAGCGUGCGAUUGGAUUGCACGUCUAAGCAGUAAGGCUGAGUAUUAGGCAAAUCCGGUACUCGUUAAGGCUGAGCUGUGAUGGGGAGAAGACAUUGUGUCUUCGAGUCGUUGAUUUCACACUGCCGAGAAAAGCCUCUAGAUAGAAAAUAGGUGCCCGUACCGCAAACCGACACAGGUAGUCAAGAUGAGAAUUCUAAGGUGAGCGAGCGAACUCUCGUUAAGGAACUCGGCAAAAUGACCCCGUAACUUCGGGAGAAGGGGUGCUCUUUAGGGUUAACGCCCAGAAGAGCCGCAGUGAAUAGGCCCAAGCGACUGUUUAUCAAAAACACAGGUCUCUGCUAAACCGUAAGGUGAUGUAUAGGGGCUGACGCCUGCCCGGUGCUGGAAGGUUAAGAGGAGUGGUUAGCUUCUGCGAAGCUACGAAUCGAAGCCCCAGUAAACGGCGGCCGUAACUAUAACGGUCCUAAGGUAGCGAAAUUCCUUGUCGGGUAAGUUCCGACCCGCACGAAAGGCGUAACGAUUUGGGCACUGUCUCAACGAGAGACUCGGUGAAAUCAUAGUACCUGUGAAGAUGCAGGUUACCCGCGACAGGACGGAAAGACCCCGUGGAGCUUUACUGUAGCCUGAUAUUGAAAUUCGGCACAGCUUGUACAGGAUAGGUAGGAGCCUUUGAAACGUGAGCGCUAGCUUACGUGGAGGCGCUGGUGGGAUACUACCCUAGCUGUGUUGGCUUUCUAACCCGCACCACUUAUCGUGGUGGGAGACAGUGUCAGGCGGGCAGUUUGACUGGGGCGGUCGCCUCCUAAAAGGUAACGGAGGCGCUCAAAGGUUCCCUCAGAAUGGUUGGAAAUCAUUCAUAGAGUGUAAAGGCAUAAGGGAGCUUGACUGCGAGACCUACAAGUCGAGCAGGGUCGAAAGACGGACUUAGUGAUCCGGUGGUUCCGCAUGGAAGGGCCAUCGCUCAACGGAUAAAAGCUACCCCGGGGAUAACAGGCUUAUCUCCCCCAAGAGUUCACAUCGACGGGGAGGUUUGGCACCUCGAUGUCGGCUCAUCGCAUCCUGGGGCUGUAGUCGGUCCCAAGGGUUGGGCUGUUCGCCCAUUAAAGCGGUACGCGAGCUGGGUUCAGAACGUCGUGAGACAGUUCGGUCCCUAUCCGUCGUGGGCGUAGGAAAUUUGAGAGGAGCUGUCCUUAGUACGAGAGGACCGGGAUGGACAUACCUCUGGUGUACCAGUUGUCGUGCCAACGGCAUAGCUGGGUAGCUAUGUGUGGACGGGAUAAGUGCUGAAAGCAUCUAAGCAUGAAGCCCCCCUCAAGAUGAGAUUUCCCAACUUCGGUUAUAAGAUCCCUCAAAGAUGAUGAGGUUAAUAGGUUCGAGGUGGAAGCAUGGUGACAUGUGGAGCUGACGAAUACUAAUCGAUCGAAGACUUAAUCAA